rnacentral:rRNA from 1 species
AAUAGAUACCCGGGUAGUCCACGCCGUAAACGUUGGGCGCUAGAUGUGGGGACCAUUCCACGGUUUCCGUGUCGCAGCUAACGCAUUAAGCGCCCCGCCUGGGGAGUACGGCCGCAAGGCUAAAACUCAAAGGAAUUGACGGGGGCCCGCACAAGCGGCGGAGCAUGCGGAUUAAUUCGAUGCAACGCGAAGAACCUUACCAAGGCUUGACAUAUACGAGGACGCUCUAGAAAUAGAGAACUCUUUGGACACUCGUAUACAGGUGGUGCAUGGUUGUCGUCAGCUCGUGUCGUGAGAUGUUGGGUUAAGUCCCGCAACGAGCGCAACCCUCGUUCUAUGUUGCCAGCGGUUCGGCCGGGAACUCAUAGGAGACUGCCGGGGUCAACUCGGAGGAAGGUGGGGAUGACGUCAAAUCAUCAUGCCCCUUAUGUCUUGGGCUUCACGCAUGCUACAAUGGCCGGUACAAAGGGCUGCAAUACCGUAAGGUGGAGCGAAUCCCAAAAGCCGGUCUCAGUUCGGAUUGAGGU